UACGGGGGGAGCAAGCGUUGUUCGGAUUUAUUGGGCGUAAAGAGCGUGUAGGCGGCCUGACAGGUCUGCUGUGAAAACUCGAGGCUCAACCUCGAGAUGUCGGCGGAAACCGUCUGGCUAGAGUCCGGAAGAGGAGAGUGGAAUUCCUGGUGUAGCGGUGAAAUGCGCAGAUAUCAGGAAGAACACCUAUGGCGAAGGCAGCUCUCUGGGACGGUACUGACGCUGAGACGCGAAAGCGUGGGGAGCGAACAGG
rnacentral:rRNA from 1 species